rnacentral:rRNA from 1 species
AAAGCGUGCGCAGGCGGUUCGGAAAGAGAGGUGUGAAAUCCCAGGGCUCAACCUUGGAACUGCACUUUUAACUACCGAGCUAGAGUAUGUCAGAGGGGGGUGGAAUUCCGCGUGUAGCAGUGAAAUGCGUAGAUAUGCGGAGGAACACCGAUGGCGAAGGCAGCCCCCUGGGAUAAUACUGACGCUCAUGCACGAAAGCGUGGGGAGCAAACAGGAUUAGAUACCCUAGU